CUUCCUGUGCAAGCUUGCUCUGCCUGUGGUGGUGGUGGGGGACUGGGGCUCAUGACUGUCAAUAUCCAGUGGGAACAGGUGCCAGCUUUGUUCCCAAGUUGAAGCUGCCUGAGCCAGAAGAGCAAUUUGGCCUUGUGUCACCCCAGCCUGGCCCUGCCCCAGACACUGACCAGUCCCGCAGUGCCCUGACCCAGUGCAGAGGCCUUGAAGUCUGUCGGCAGGUGGUCUCUCCCCCCUUAAAGCCCGGCUUUGGUCAGGGGUGAUGGCAGCGAGGACUGCUGUCUGCUGUGGUGCGCCAAGCCCCGGGCAGACCGCCAAGAUCUCAGUGUUGAUGCCGCACUAUGUACAGUCGGAGGAGGUGGGCUGUGGAAAAUGGCGUCUGAAUGAUGAGACCCGAAUUCUUCAAAAUCAAGCCCACUUAACAGGUGAAAGUUCCUGUGAUCUGAUUCCUCUGAGCAAAGAAACUAGGAGAGGCACCGCCCUCAGAAAAGCCGUCGACGCUGUCAUCUUUUGCUAAUAGCCCAGGAUGAAGAAACAAGGAGGGGUUAACUACCCUCAUGGUAAGGCAUGACAAACUGCACCCGUGAAACAAGACAGGAAAUAAUUGCAAUGGGCUCCUCAACCAGAGGUGGGCAAGGAGCUCUCACCCCCGUGGCUCAAUGUGCGUGGGGCAGGUGUGGCUAUAGGUAGGUGGCAGUUCUUUGCUGGCAGGACUGUACCUGUACUUGAUGUGCUGGGCCCAUCAAGAAGCACAGCUUUGGAUGGGUGAAGAGGUUGGGGGUCACUGGGGACGAGACAGGAUAGAGGGCAGAAGGCAGAGGGUAACCAUUGCUGUGAUAAACACUGAGUAAAAGCAACUUGAGAAC
rnacentral:lncRNA from 1 species